rnacentral:rRNA from 1 species
UAUGACCUGGGCUACACACGUGCUACAAUGGGAAGUACAACGAGUCGCGAAGUCGCGAGGCUAAGCUAAUCUCUUAAAGCUUCUCUCAGUUCGGAUUGCAGGCUGCAACUCGCCUGCAUGAAGCCGGAAUCGCUAGUAAUCGCGGAUCAGCACGCCGCGGUGAAUACGUUCCCGGGCCUUGUACACAC